rnacentral:rRNA from 1 species
UAGUCGUUACGCGGUAGCCGUAAGUUUGCAACGGUAGCGGUAGCAAUUUGUACCUUGCUCCUUUGCCGGCGAGCGGCGGACGGGUGAGUAAUGUCUGGGAAACUGCCUGAUGGAGGGGGAUAACUACUGGAAACGGUAGCUAAUACCGCAUAACGUCGCAAGACCAAAGAGGGGGACCUUCGGGCCUCUUGCCAUCAGAUGUGCCCAGAUGGGAUUAGCUAGUAGGUGGGGUAACGGCUCACCUAGGCGACGAUCCCUAGCUGGUCUGAGAGGAUGACCAGCCACACUGGAACUGAGACACGGUCCACACUCCUACGGGAGGCAGCAGUGGGGAAUAUUGCACAAUGGGCGCAAGCCUGAUGCACCCAUGCCGCGUGUAUGAAAAAGGCCUUCGGGUUGUAAAGUACUUUCAGCGGGGAGGAAGGUGUUGAGGUUAAUAACCUCAGCAAUUGACGUUACCCGCAAAAAAAGCACCGGCUAACUCCGUGCCAGCAGCCGCGGUAAUACAGAGGGUGCAAGCGUUAAUCAGAAUUACUGGGCGUAAAGCGCACGCACGCGGUCUGUCAAGUCAGAUGUG